AGGGAUGUGCCUCCUACUUACCCAAUUAGUCAGAUUCUCAGUGGCCUCACAAUCAUUCCCUUGCCUCCACAUAGGAUGUUUCCUCACCUAAAUUAUUAGAACCGGUCGUGUACAUCAGGCCUCGCAAAAAUGACUCUGGUUUCUGGUUCUUCUCACAUACCAGAGGAUGAACUUGGCACUUCUUGAAGAGGUUGUAUAACCUUUUCAACCAAGGACAGAAUGGGGAAUAGGAGAGAAACCAGGGUUGUAGUGCCUUCAUGCUGCUGUUAACUUGGGACGUCCAACACUACCAGACUUGACAUUAAUUUGCUACCAUGUGCAUCUCAUGGAAAGGUGGACUCAGAGCACAUAUUGUCAAAACACCCUCCAAAUCUUGGAGAUGGCCUUGUUGUAAUAAUUAUACCAACAAAAGAGGUGGCAAGCAUUUCACCUGAAGCAUUUAAACUGGCCCUGAUGAUAAUCAUUUUGAAACAAUCCAACCAUGACUGGGGAGGGAUUGUCUCCUAGGGUUCAUAGAAUCAGAAUACAAGGACUACUAAGAAGUCCUCCUUACAUAUUAAAAGAUGUCAUGAUUUUCAGCACAGCUUCGCAUCCCUAACUAAUGUUACAAUUCCCUAACAAAUGAUAUGAUACUCAAUCAAAUAAAAUGACUCCCUAACUUCCCCACUCUCUCUUCAACUUGCUGUCUAACACUCACUAACUCCCAGCCUUUUUGAGGAUUUGGAAAUGGGACUGAUAAUAAAUUAACAUCUUUCAUGCAGCUGUACUUCAGGAGGCGUGGGCAGGAGCAAGCAAUGGGCUUGUUCUUACAUUUGGAACUGCGACUUUGGAUACUGGACAGUGGAAACAGACCUUAGUGGGGAUGCCUUUUUCUGAGAUCUGUUCAUAGGGUAGCAUGCAUUACAUGCUGGUAUGUGGGGCAGGGAGCGAGCAGUGACUCUGGGCGGCUUCCAACACUGCCCCAAUAUUUGCCAAACUUACAAGUCCGCUGUUUUCACAGCCCCCCCCUCUAAUUCUCGCCACCUCUUGCUCUCUCGCCUUACUCGCUCAAAGAUCUGCUCUUACCAAAGUUCUCUGGUAUGUCACACAGCAGGCAGGCAUGUCACGAUGGAGGGCGUCACCUUUACCUUGAGCAACCUUGGUCAACAAAGGGCAGUGUUCCUCUUAAUAGUAAGUGGUUUUUAUUGCUUUCAGUGUAUUAAGCUAGCUAGCUUGUUUGUUUGUUUGUUUAACAUCUAGACCAUGGGUAGGCAAACUAAGGCCCGGGGGCUAGAUCCGGCCCAAUUGCCUUCUAAAUCCAGCCUGCGGACAGUCUGGGAAUCAGCAUGUUUUUACAUGAGUAGAAUGUGUGCUUUUAUUUAAAAUGCAUCUCUGGGUUAUUAGUGGGGCAUAGGAAUUUGUUCAUCCCCCCCCCCCAAAAAAAUAUAGUCCAGCCCCCCACAAGGUCUGAGGGACAGGUCCCCUGCUGAAAAAGUCUGCUGACCCCUGAUCUAGACCUCCCCUCAUCCAAUGGAUUUCAGUGCAGUGUCUAAUCGUAACAAUGCAAGCAGGAAACUAGAUGGGUUGAUCGCUUGCGGCUGUAUAAGGCCCUAUUCAAUGCUCUGAGGAGUAGAGAUGCCUGGCAUUAUGGAGUUGGGCUGGGCUGGGGAGAUUCAUCACAGAUGUGAAGGGAGAGAAAUGCGCUCUGUUAAUUUACGAAGCUGGUUCUUGCUUUGGUCAAACUUUAAGAAUGACGUGUUUUUGAAUUUUAAAACUUGCAAGCUUUUAAAGCUCCUGAAUAUAUAUUUCCUUCAAAAUGUCUUGAGUUUCUAUAAAGGGUGUUGCAUCUGUGAGCACUGGAGCAUAUGCACAGCGAGCACAAAAAGACUUGUGUCACAUCCACACCAUACAUUUAAAGCAUGUGUCUUCCCCCAAAGCAUCCUGGGAACUGUAGUUUUACCCUCAGAGCUACAGUUGCAAGGACCCUUAACAAAGUGCAGUUCCCAACAUUAUUAGGGGAAAGCCCUAUGUUUUACAUGUGCUUUAAAUGUAUGAUGCAGAUGUAACCUUACUAUAGCUCUCCUGCAUGCAAGUCUGUUGCCAUUGGUUGCAGGCGCACCAUGCAUUUGAAGCACCUAACUUCCCCGCCAAAGAAUCCUGGGUACUUUAGUUUGCUAAGCAUGCUGGGAAUUGUAGCUGUGAGGGGUAAACCAUGAUUCCCAGCAUUCUUUGGUGGAGGGAGCGAUGUUCUUUAAGUGUAUAGUAUGCGCACAGCCUUUAUGUACAACUCUGAAGAUGCUACUAAAAAGGAAUAGACUAGGAGAAAGAAUAGGUUUGACAGAAGCAGAUGUGUUCAUUAAAUUCUGAAUCUGAGUAUGAAUAAAGCAGGGAGAUGGAGGUUGAUCUUAGAGCAAAAGGGGCAUGUAGAUGGGGGUGGGGAGUGAACUUUCCCCAUGCCUGCUGCUUGUUCCCUUGUAUAACCUCCCACCCUGAAGUGCUUUUCUCCCAGCUGAGCCUGUGUCCUGUGUCAAAGCUUAGCUAAGGAAGAAACCACUUGAAGGAGAAGGUAAAAACUGUGUGCCUAAAAACGAAACAUCUCUCGAUUUCCUUGCUUUCCAUGUGACCUGUGGCUGACCUGGGUUUAAAUAUAAAACUGUUAAUGUUCAGCUUGGUCCUGAAUCAGUGGAAUGAAUUGCUUUCAUUCAGGCAAGCGCCAACCCCCCCCCCCAAUAGCUGUUUGCAGUAGCAAACAAGUGUGUGUGUGUGUGUGUGUGUGUGUGUGCGCACACACACACACACACCUCCAGCAAGACAAGGCAUUGCUCUACUGGUGCUGUGUCAGCCCUUGGGGGACAUGCUGCAUUAAAUAUAAAUUAUGGCUGGUGCACUUUGGAGUGGGGGGGAUGGGGACAAGGCUGUUAUUUUAUUUUGUAUUAUACAAAAAGACCAUUAAUGCUCCUUCUUUCUUUCUCUGCAGCGAGAGGAGAGAGGCUAGAGAGCAGCAUUUCUUCAACCCCACGUGUGUCUGCUAGAAAAAGAUCAUGGCUGAUUAACCAAUCUAGCGGGUACCAUCUGGGGCUACGGUUUUGCCGAGUGUCUCAAUUCCUUCUGCCUGUGCUGCUGGGAGCGCUGUUGAAUAAUCAGCCAGCCACCUGCCCCUCUGUGGUUUUAUUUCCUAUAAAUGCAUAUUUCAUCUCUGCC
rnacentral:lncRNA from 1 species